GCGACGAGAGGCCAUUGUGGCGAGGGAGGCCUUGGGAGGUGGAGGAGUGAAGCCGCUACCGCGGGACCCAAGCGCCGAGCCGCAGGAGCAGACGAUCUUGAAAACUGCCAGGUCCUUGGGGGAAAAAACUACAUGACACUGCAACAUGAGUGACAGUAAAUGUGAUAGUCAGUUUUACAGUGUUCAAGUCGCAGAUUCCACAUUCACUGUACUAAAACGGUACCAACAAUUGAAGCCCAUAGGAUCUGGGGCUCAGGGCAUUGUUUGUGCUGCAUUUGAUACAGUCCUUGGGAUAAAUGUUGCGGUAAAGAAGCUGAGUCGUCCUUUUCAGAACCAAACUCAUGCAAAAAGAGCUUACAGGGAGCUUGUUCUUUUAAAAUGUGUCAAUCACAAAAACAUAAUUAGUUUGUUAAAUGUAUUCACACCACAGAAGUCACUGGAAGAAUUUCAAGAUGUGUAUUUGGUUAUGGAACUGAUGGAUGCUAACUUGUGCCAGGUUAUUCAUAUGGAGUUGGAUCAUGAAAGAAUGUCCUACCUUCUCUACCAGAUGUUGUGUGGUAUCAAACAUCUCCAUUCAGCUGGUAUCAUCCACAGAGAUUUGAAACCCAGCAAUAUAGUAGUAAAAUCAGAUUGUACACUCAAAAUCCUUGAUUUUGGACUGGCAAGAACAGCAUGUACUAAUUUUAUGAUGACGCCGUACGUAGUAACACGGUAUUACAGAGCACCGGAGGUUAUCCUAGGCAUGGGAUACAAAGAGAAUGUUGAUAUCUGGUCAGUUGGGUGCAUCAUGGGAGAAUUGGUGAAAGGUUGUGUGAUAUUCCAAGGCACUGAUCAUAUUGAUCAAUGGAAUAAAGUUAUUGAACAGUUAGGAACACCAUCAGCAGAUUUUAUGAAGAAACUACAGCCUACUGUGAGGAAUUAUGUAGAAAACAGACCGAAAUAUCCGGGUAUCAAAUUUGAAGAGCUCUUCCCAGACUGGAUAUUUCCAUCGGAAUCUGACCGUGACAAAUUAAAAACAAGUCAAGCUAGAGAUUUAUUAUCAAAAAUGCUGGUAGUAGACCCAGACAAACGAAUUUCUGUAGAUGAAGCCUUACGACAUCCAUAUAUCACGGUCUGGUAUGAUCCAGCUGAAGCGGAAGCACCUCCUCCUAAAAUCUAUGAUGCACAGCUGGAAGAAAGAGAACAUGCCAUUGAAGAAUGGAAAGAAUUAAUAUACAAAGAAGUAAUGGAUUGGGAAGAAAGAAGCAAGAAUGGUGUGGUAAAAGAUCAGCCCUCAGAUGCAGCAGUGAAUAGCAACACCAGUCCUUCCCAGUCAUCAUCGAUCAAUGACAUUUCAUCCAUGUCAACUGAGCAAACAUUGGCUUCAGAUACAGACAGCAGCCUUGAUGCCUUGACAGGACCCCUUGAAGGAUGCCGAUGAUCAGCCAGGAUUGCAGACUUCACAUUGGGAAAAAAACUCGUUUCCAUUGGCCUGAAUUGCUUGGUACUGCUUGCAACUAUCUGGCUGAAGCGUUGGGAGAGCCAGAUCCUUAGACCACCUGAUAUUUGAUGGCAGGAUAUUUUUCAGGUUGCUGGUUCAGCUGCAGAAAGACAUCUUGUUGCAUGAACCAGAACAGAAUAGAAGAAGAUAGAGCAGCCUGGCUGUGUUUGCAUGGGGCAUUUUACAAAGUAUACUGAAAUACGUUCCUUGUCUUACGUCUUGCCUUGUCUGUUCCCCUCAAGUUCUUUGGAGACAGCGGUUCAGGUAUAGAAGAGCGUGGAGAGAGGUGAAAACAAGAUAGGAAGGAUUCUUGAGGAAAGUGGGACUUCAGGAGGUAAUGAGGCAUUUGUUACACAAAUGAUCCAACCAAAGGAGCUGCAUGUUGGAAGGUGCAAAACUGAGGGUGGGAGGAGAGGAAGAGUGAAUUGGUUGGAGUAGAGCCCAGUUCAAAAAUUCAGCCAGUUGUGCUAUUCUAUAAAGCCUUGAAAUGAGUGUGAAAUUACUUAAUUUGCGAUGGUAAAAGACUAGAAACCAUGGAUAGUAUUUAAGAAGGAUAUUGGGUGAUGUGGUCGGAGAGACUAGAGAGUGUGUGGAGUGGACUGGAUAACAUACACCUUACUCACAAGUAAGGGUCUGUAAAACCUUGCUUCAGUGAUUUAACAGUUUUGAGCACUGAGUGAAACAGCCUGCUUCACUCGGUGUACAUAUCAAUGGAUCAUAUAGAAUGAGGCAGUGUUACAAUCCGAUGUUCUGCAUUGGCACCUCAUUCCUGAUCUCAAACUUGUUCUUUCCUUUUCAGAGAACUAAGGUUUAUUUACAGGACUGAGGCUUCAUGAACUGGCCCAGGUUCAAAGACCGCCCAGACGAUAGCUCAUGCUCCGUCUCCAAUGGAAAAUGUUCCACAACCUUUCUUUUAUUAAGAAUAUUUUUACUGGCACAGUCUCUCCCUUAUGCCUUUAUGAAGCGUGAUGACAACACAGACUUCCUUAUUCAGUGCAUAUAUUAUCAAAUCAUAUAACAUGAGGCAAUACUUCUAUGGAGUGCUGACUCAUUCCAUCUGCGCCUUCACAAAUCAUCCGGCAUGUGCACCUAUACAUUAAAAUAAAAUUUGAUCCAAUGUACAGAUACACAAAGUAAGGCUCCGGGAUUUGUUUGUUUUUUGCCCUUAUGACAUGGUCAAGUCAAACCUGAUUUUUUUUUUUUCCCCCACUGUACCACCAAAUAUACACACAUGGGGCUAAUGUCCCUGUCAGAUCUCAAGCUUCUACUGCCUCUAGCUGAAGUACAAGAGAAGCUUUUAACUAAGGCCUGGUCUACACUUUGGGGCUAAGUUGCCCUAAGUUACGCAAUUCCCGCUACGUCACUAGCUUAGGUCGACUUAUUGCGGUGUCUACACCAUGCUGGGUCAACGGGAGAAACUCUCCCAUUGACUUACCUUACGCUUCUCUUUCCGGUGGAAUACCAGAGUUGACGGGAGAAUGAUCUGCGGUCGAUUUAGCGGGUCUUCACUAGACCCGCUAAAUCGACCCCCAGUGGAUCAAUCACUGCAGCAUCGAUCCCCAGUAAGUGUAGAGAUAUACCCCUAAGUCACACUUCUCUUUUUCUUCCUCUUCACAUGGGAGAAGUGUACCUUUUCACUCCCAAACUGAUGCACUGUAUAUGCUCAGGCUUUCAGAAAUGUGUGCCCUUGGACUGAAGAACACACCGAAAAUUUCAGCUUGAGAAGUAAGUUUUUGAGAAAGUUAGAAACUAAGACACUAUAUAAUGGAAAUUCUUGUGGCCUUUAACUACAGACAUCACCAUACACUGGGCAUGUAACUGGGAAUGUAGGUCCCAAUUCAGCAAAGCAGGUAGGUACAUGCUGUAAAUUUAGCACAUGAAUAAUCCCAAUUCUAUUCAGCAAAACACUGAAGUGUGAUUUAAAAUUAAGUGCUUUGUUGAAUACAGACCAUAAUGAGCAAUUGGGGAUUUGGUCGUCUUAAAAUACUUAUUUGUCCAUCAAAAAUCUUUUUCCCAUUGAUUUGAUCUGAACAUGACAUAUAUCACUUGAGAACUCAUUAUCUGAAAAAUAUCAAAGUAGCCUUAGUUUCUUUCCAAAUAGGGUAGCUGGGGACCAACUAGAUUUUUUUUUUUUUUUUAAAUCAGGGAGGGUUUUUUUACAUAAUUCAUAUGGGUAAGUUUCCUUUAAAAAUAUUGUCAGUGGUAAGUGAUGUUCAAAAAGGGGAAUUUUCUUUCUGUAUACUCCUUAUUUUUUUGGCAAAAACCAGCUGGAAUUUUACUUUCUUUCAUUCUGAACAGAGAAAAACAAUUGUCAUACUGGUACUGAGGAGGAGGAGGAAAAAUGCAACUAGCCGUAGGCACUGAAAUGUGACUUGGAAAUAUGUCCCCCGGUUUUUAUAAAAAAAUGUCACUCAAUUUUGUAUUCUUCAUGCCUUUUAGUAUGAACUGGCAAACAGUGACCAUAAUUACAUAAUUUAUUGAUUGUAUCCAAUCAUAACACAGGCCAUCAGUUAUCCCAGUGUUCAGCAUAUAAAUUAUGUUGUUUAUUGUUCUGGUUUUGCUUCAGGAAAAUGCAAGUUUUUAAACUCUCCUGUGACAUGCAUUUGAAUUGACCUUGGUUGCUCAUUAAUUGGUGUUGAUUCUAGUGACUGGAGAAACUAUAUUGGUAAUUUAGAAGUACAACUGUAAUAAGGCUAUUUGGUUAGUUACUUUGUGGAUGGGGAAAUGGACAGACUGAAAUAUAAUCAUUUCUGCUUCGCACAGGUUCAAAUAAAGAUUUUUUUUCUUCCACUGAGUGCUGAGGUGACUUUUAUUAGUGUACUGUUCUCAUUGCAGUUUUUGGAUUGUCUUGAA